ACGUUAUUUCUCCUCCCCUUGCCUCUCCCUGACAAAAAAAAUCUCUUCUGCAAGCACAGAGUGCCCUGACAGGUUCAGGCAAGUGCACCAAAAGUGCCCUAGAAUAUGGUCCCCCGUAGGAGAUGGACCAGCUGCUGGUUUCUGGAGAACCAGGUGAUAAAUAACAUGAUUUCCUUACUCCA